AUUUUAAAAAAUUUUAAAACGGAUAGCUAGGAUUUUCUUCUAAAGUGACAUAAUUACUGUGAAAAAUUUCGACUAGUAAAAAAACGUUGAAAUCGAAAGAUUCUAAAUUGAAAAGCGCGCCAUUAAUGGCGAUAACCCUUCCGGCGAAGUGAAACAACAUAGUAGCCGAAAAAAGAAAUCAAAAAGAGAACCCGUUAGUAGUGGCGAACGAAUACGGAAGAUUGGCCAUGGUUCUAUUGUUUAUUAAAUACAAUUCACGGUGUGUGAAAUUCCUUAUUGUGUUUAUAAAAAUUUUCCACUUUUUAGUAAAACUAAGUUUAGUUUGAAUACCGGGGAACCUUCCUCGAAGGCUGUAAGAAGAGAAUAUCGAUAGUGCAAAGUACUGCGAAGGAAGGUUGAAAGAAGACUGCUUUUUGUGGUUUUGAAAGAGGUUGAAAUUUUAAAAUUAAUUCCAGACGUUGAUUCACUAAAAAACUCGUCGUACCUUUUGUAUAAUGGUUCAACAACAUAUUUAUUUCUAGCAAGCUUAACUACGUUUAGAAAAGCGUUUUAGUUAGUGUAAAUAAACCCGAAACCUAGUGAUCUAUCUAUUUACAAGCAAAUUGGCUGUACUCUAGUAUGUUGUAAUAUACAGGGAUGAAAAAUGGAUAGGGGUGAAAGGCUAAUCAAACUGGGAAAUAGCUGGUUCUUUGCGAAAUAUAUGGACGUAUAUUGUUUUUUUGAAAAGCGGGGGUAAAGCGAAUUGCAUACUUUUCAGCGGAUGGGGUUUAACUUACUGAACCUGAAAAAACUCUGAAUACUAGAAAAACAAACAGACUUUAGGUGAUAAGGUCUAAAGUCACGAGGGAAACAGCCCAGAUAACUAAUUAAGGUCUUAAAAUCACUGUUAAGUGUAAAGAUAAAACUGGUAUUCCUUAGACAAUUUAAAGGUAGGCUCGGAAGCAGCCAUCCUGUUAAGAAAGCGUUGCAGAUCAUAAGUCUACGUGAAGUGGAUUACCGUUGUCGAUAAUACUUUUGAGUCUAAACAGUGUACCGAAAUUGUUAAUUAUUUAUGGUAGCAAAGUGUUUAAUUAAAUUGUAAUUUUUUUACGUUUUAAAAAUGUAAAGAAAAUUUAUUUAAAGUAAAAAUGUUGAAAUGAGUAGCGUAAAACAACGUUUAAUCGUUGUCACUGAAAAUCUAAUGUUUGUCGAAGCAAUAUUGUGUAACACGAUUUAAUUCGGUCCCUAAGCUGCAGUUAAUACGAUAACAGCGAUGGGUUUUUAAAACGCCCUUUUAUUUUCGCCCCCAAAUAAUAACAGUUAACAAAAUAGUGUAAUUGUUUGGGGGUGGAGAUUACUGGAAAAUCUCGUUUUUUGCGAACCGUACUACAAACCACCUCAGGUAGAUUGGUAGCGUAUACUAAAGUGAACUAAUUAUAAUUAGCGAAGGAACUCGGCAAAUUAAACCCGUAACUUCGGAAGAAGGGUUGCCUGAUUAGGUAUCAUAAAAUCGGGAGGGGCGACUGUUUAUUAAAAACACAGGACUCUGCCAAAUUGCAAAAUGAAGUAUUGGGUCUGACACCUGCCCGGUGUUGUGUAAUGAAAAGGAGAUGUUGAUAGCAUUGAAUAUAAUUCACAAUAAACGGCGGCUGUAACUCUGACGGUCCUAAGGUAGCGAAAUUCCUUGUCGGGUAAGUUCCGACCUGCAUGAAUGGUGUAACGACUCCCUCCACUGUCUCCGCUAAUAAUUUGGCGAAAUUGAAUUUUUUGUGAAGAUGCAAAAACUGUACAGCUAGACGGAAAGACCCCGUGCACCUUUACUAUAACUUUACAUUGUAAUUAAAAAUCAACAGCGCAGCUGAGGUGGGAGUUGUUUGAAGACGUAGUUGAAACACCACCCUGUUGAUUUUUCUUCACUAUAAAUUUUUAUAAAUUUAAAACGUGUAUGGUUGGUAGUUUGACUGGGGCGGUCGCCUCCUAAAAAGUAACGGGGGUGUGCAAAGGUAAGUUCAAAACGAAAAUAAUUGUUUGUUGAGCGCAAUAGCAAAAAUUUGCCUAACUGUGAAGCAGACAUGCUAAACAGAAACUGGAUGUUGGCUAUAGUGACCCGGUGGUUUGUGUAUGGAAAAACCAUCGAUCAACGGAUAAAAGGUACGCCGGGGAUAACAGGCUGAUAACCCUUUAGAGUCCCUAUUGAUGGGGUUGUUUGGCACCUCGAUGUCGGCUUAUCGCUUCCUAGGGCAGAACAAGGUCCUAAGGGUUCGGCUGUUCGCCGAUUAAAGCGGUACAUGAGCUGGGUUUAGAACGUUGUGAAACAGUUCGGAUCCUAUCUACUGUACAUUUUAGAUAAAAAUGUGUCUUAUAACGGCAUUGACAAAGCUAUUUCUAGUACGAGAGGACCGAAUAUGGUGGAUCACUGAUUAGCGAGUUGUUGGUUUUCACCGGCAGGCUCGAUCGUUAUAUCCGUUUACUGUUAAUUACUGAGAGCAUAUCAAGUAAGAAACAAAUUGUCUAGUUUAUCUCUAAAAAAGUUUUAGACUACAACUUAAACAGGCUAUAAGUAUUGAAGUGGAAGCUCUCGGGCUAAAUAGUGCUGAUUUUUUGUGUAAUAAAAUGU
rnacentral:rRNA from 1 species